CACGUAGGCACCAAGCGUUGUCCGGAUUUAUUGGGCGUAAAGAGCUCGUAGGCGGUUCAGUAAGUCAGGUGUGAAAUCUUUGGGCUUAACCCAAAGCGUGCACUUGAUACUGCUGUGACUUGAGUUCGGUAGGGGAGUGGGGAAUUCCUAGUGUAGCGGUGAAAUGCGCAGAUAUUAGGAGGAACAUCGGUGGCGAAGGCGCCACUCUGGGCCGAAACUGACGCUGAGGAGCGAAAGCGUGGGUAGCAAACAGG
rnacentral:rRNA from 1 species